GGCCUCUGCAGUUGCUCUCUCAACUGCAGCUCGCUCCGCCUUCAGUUUGGCUUCCAUAGAUGCCUUCUCUGCUGCUGACUUAGCAUUAGCUUCUGCACAAGCCUUCUCUAACCUUUCUCGGGCCUCUGCCAUUACCCUUUGAUGAGCUUCUGCAGUUGCUCUUUCUGCAGCAGCCCUUUCUGCCCUUUCUCUGGCUUCAGCAAAAGCCCUUUCACGA
rnacentral:misc_RNA from 1 species